rnacentral:lncRNA from 1 species
GCCUGGUAGGGUCUGUCAGACCCACACCAACGCGCGAACCGUUGUAGUUCAUUUAAAUUUGAAUUUCGAGCCUCACCGUUUUUAGUAGCUGGCCGUUACUAAUCGCGGAAUGCCCUCCACCCGCUUCCUCAGUCCGCAGUGAGCUAUCAGCGUAAAAGGACUUGCGUAAAGUGCCUCCGGGUCCCACAGACCCCACCAGGCAUACGGCGUGACUUUAUUUUUUUAAUCAUGAAUAAACAACUAACAGACUAGAACAUAGCAAGUUUAUUAUUCCAAGAGUUGGAUGUUGAAGACUUAGCUGCAUUUGAUUCAAGUGGAGAAGAGUUUGACGAAGAUGAUACGUUUGUCCCGCGAAAAAAGAUCGGAAAACCCAGUACAUUUGUGAGACAUGUAGUUGUCACAUUUGUCUUCUCUACUCGAUUUUUCAAUGCGCAAAGUGUUACCGAACAAAGCUUUACAAAGUGUAAAUGCAAGGGAUGAAGACUAAUUAUUUUGUUAUUAAGAUUAAGUAUAUGAUAGUGCCUCACACUGGAUUAAAGUCUGAUUAUGAUCUCAAUACUUUUGAUACUAAUUAUAUGUUAACAAAGUUAUAGUCACGAAAUUUUGCUUAAAAAUUUGAGUUAAACUUUAAUUUCCAAUAUUUUAAUAAAGUUGAUUAAUUUCUAAUAUGAUUUUUUUACUAUCUCUUUUUUGCCCUUUAAACAUGCGUCUUGAAUCAUUAAAUCACCUAACAUAAUAAAAUUUAUUGAAAAAAAUGCUAUUUUGAAAUCGGGGUCUGAGAGACCCACCAGGCAUACAGUGUAACUUAUGCCCACCAGGCAUGCCAAGGGUUAAA